CCUACGGGGAGCAGCAGUGAGGAAUAUUGGUCAAUGGACGGAAGUCUGAACCAGCCAUGCCGCGUGCAGGAAGACGGCUCUAUGAGUUGUAAACUGCUUUUGUACAAGGGUAAACCUGAAUACGUGUAUUCAGCUGAAAGUACUGUACGAAUAAGGAUCGGCUACCUCCGUGCCAGCAGCCGCGGUAAUACGGAGUAUCCAAGCGUUAUCCGGAUUUAUUGGGUUUAACGGGUGCGUAGGCGGAUUGAUAAGUUAGAGGUGAAAUGUCCGAGCUUAACUCGGGAACUGCCUCUAAUAAUGUUGAUCUAGAGAGUAGAUGCGGUAGGCGGAAUGUAUGGUGUAGCGGGGAAAUGCUUAGAGAUCAUACAGAACACCGAUUGCGAAGGCAGCUUACCAAUCUAUAUCUGACGUUGAGGCACGAAAGCGUGGGGAGCAAACAGGAUUAGAUACCCCAGUAGUC
rnacentral:rRNA from 1 species